AGUGGUUUGCUCUUCUGCUGGACACCAACUGCACUGAGUUUGUGAGUUCAACGACCAUAUCAUGAGAACAUGUCAUUGUUUUGAUCCAACUCCUUCCGACCUUUGGCUCUUAAAAUCUUUCCACCUCUUUUCUUUCCAAUAUUCCCUGAGCCUUGAGGGAACUUGAUAUGGUGGGAGCUUCUGUGGCUGAGUUCUCCACAGAGAGUUCAUUCUCAAUACUCGGACUAGUUAUGAAUGUGUAUUACCUACCAUCCACUGUAUGAAGAUGCUCCCCCAAUGACCACCGAGAGCUGUGUUAAUCUAUGAGCUUGUAACUGGUAUUGUUUGAUACUAUAUAUCCAUUUAAGAAAAUAGUAGUUAUGGUUCACUCCCAGGGCUUAUGAGCCUGUCUGCCAUGGUUUUCCUGACCAGAUUUACAAUGCCAGGCAAAAGUUUCCUCUUGUAGUGCAGACCUUAAAUCCACCCAGAAAAUGAUUGGUGAUCCUCAUUACAUUCCUGCCAUUUAUGGCGCACCCAUGAGUACAUCUUGCCAGGGCUUUUGUUAUAUAGCCCUGAGUAGUCACAGUGGAGUGAGAAUAGUCUGCGUAGCAUUAUAAAGGGUAGCUAGCAGGGGUGGAAGUUUCCUGCUAAGUACUGUGCAGGCAGGUCUGUGUGAUUUCUUCAAGUUCUUUGACCUACUUGUGUGGUGUCAUCAGCUAUAGGAUCUUACCAUCACAUUCUGAUGGGUAGCCCUGAGCAAUGAGAAUUGACAACUCUGGUAUCAUCUCUGUGACAUCCUCGACCAACAACUUGAGAGCAAGGUGUCCUACAUCUGGCUCUGGACUUUUUGAGAACUUGUAGCCAAUGGAAGGAGAAUUACCCACCUUGUAACGUUCGUUCUGAACACUUUCCAGGCCGUUCUGGCAUCCGAUGAAUGUGAUUCCUAUGCCCUCUUUCUCUAUCCUGCCAAUGGUCUUCAGUUUUUGGAACUCACCCCAAAGAAUCCUACAGUGUCCAGCUGCAGCUUCCUGCUAAGGUGGGAUUCUGCCAAGGGGAAGCAGAUGACGUGAAGAGAAAAGCCCUGUAUUUCAGCCUGACUAACAGUGAGCAGUAAGUGAAGAAUCUCUACCAGUGAGUAAUGUGGAGUGUGUGACUGUGCUAUGCACUGGAAGGACAUUUAGGAGGGACACUAUCUCUAGUGGCCAGAAACCAUUUGAUAAUAACCUUUGGUGGCUUCUAAGAAAGGCGCUGGUUGAAAACCAAGAGCUAAGCUGGACCUCUGGAGCUUCAGGCUGCCCAAGAUUUAAAAGAUUCUUUCUUUUUCCUGCACUAUCUGUCAGGCAUAAACCAGAACCAGAAGUGAUUAUAUGUUUUUGCAGAACUACUGGGAUUUGCUGUGAAAAACAUUGUUCUUGGGGCUACAUAAAAAUAUCCAGUCAUAACUAACUGCCUCAGUGGACGCUUUUCAGGUUAAUGAUUUCUGGAGAGGAGGCAUCAUGAUUCAGUCUUUCAAACAGGUAUUGUUAAGGAUUAAAUUAUGAGUACUAUAAUGGGGGGGAGGUAGAUGAGGCUUUUAGUCGUCUCAGGUUUCUCCUGGCACCAUCACCAGAAAUCAUGCUGACUGGUUUACCCACAGCGUUUCCAGAGACAAAUCCAUUUCUUAGUCUCCCCAGUGGGUUAUUCUGCUAGUGCUGCAAUAGGCUAUUCUGCAGGUGUCUGUCCAGUUGGUGCUCCUAAGAGACUAUUGACUUCAGGUGGGCUCUUUUGUCUUUGUAUUUUGCAAUACUAGCUUAGCCCACAGUAGUUACUUUGUGGCUUCCCAUAGUUGCUUCUCAUUCAAACUAGAUCGUGGGCAGAUAGAGUGACAGAGCAAAAAUUUGCCGAUCACUUUAUCUGCAGAGCAUUGUGAUAAAACCCUUGCAGAUAUUAUCUUAAUUAAACCUCUCUCAACUUAUAGGUGGUAAGUAUAACUAUCUUCUCAGAUUUACCAAUAGUCUUACCGAAAUUACGAAAGGUGCUUAUGUCAGAGUUAAAUGGCCGAGCCAUAGUCAAUACAGCUCUGAAGUAUGGAUACAGGGGUGAUCUCUUAUGCAGAGUAGAUAGGGUGUUUCUUACUUGGAUUUCAUGUUACCUGGUUGUUUGUAUUUUGGUUCAUUUUAUCAGUCACUCUGGUUACAGCUCACUCUGCCCCUCUCCUGCAAUUUUGAUAUUUCUGGAAAGCAUCAAAGGAAAUAGUGAAGAACCGGAGUGAAUGGAUGACAGUGUUUGUGUGCGUGUGCGUGUGCGUGUGCAUGUGUGUGUGUGUGUGUGUGCACUCGCACGUACGUGUGCAUGGAUGUGUAUGCAUGUGUGUGUGAGCACGUGUAUGAAGGCCUUUAUGGCUCUAGACAACUGUCUCCUCACAUGCUUUUGCACACACACACAGGCACAGACACACGCACACGCACAGCAGCUUCUUAUGGCUAUGCAGGUACCAAUUCUCAUUCUAAUACUCUGUGAUUCUUGGUCCUUCCCAGAUUCUGUUGGUGUCCAGGGGCUCUGCCUUUAAAAAUCAUAGUAUUUCAAGCACUCAGCCUUAUUUCCAAGGUUCUACAUACAAGUGUCCCCUCCUGUUCUGUGAUCCGUACCGUGUGUAGGUCUCCAUCUCACCCUAGUCUGUGUAGUCUAGACUCUAGAACAGACUUAGCAGUUGGCCUCUAUCCUUUCUCCUCUAACCUCUUAUCCUCUAGCUUAAAGACUCUCUCUCCC
rnacentral:lncRNA from 1 species